GUUCAUUUUCCCCUGAAUGUGGUACUUUCUCUCAAGAAAUUGUUCCUUUAUAUGCAUGUAUGUUUGUCUUUGUCUUCGAUUGCAUUAUCUUCUACAUUUAUUUUCUUAUUUUUUAUCUGCAUUGGAAGGCUACGAUCGAAGUCAAUUGAAUUCUGUUUCUUUGUCUUCGAUUACAUUAUCUCCUACAUUUAUUGUUUCUAUAAUGUUUUUUAGGGUUAAGGUUGAAUUGAAUUAUCUGCAUUAGAAGGCUAAGAUUGAAGUCAAUUGAAUUCUGUUUGAUGUGGAUUUGAAUUUCAUUUGAAGGGAAAUCACGUUCAUGAGGGGUUGCUUUGAAUUUAACCUAUCAAUUUCAGAUCUAACAACAAUUCGUAUGUCGAACCACUCGAUUCAAAAGGUUGAAAUCACGAUCCGCUCCAAAAAUUGUUCAUUUUCCCCUGGAUUUGGUACUUUAAUGGUUUAGGCAAAGACACAAGAAACCUAUGCUGGAAGUGCUCAAGAAAAUUAAAGCCGAGCUUAUGGUUCUUGGAUUUAUUUCCCUACUCUUGACAUUUGGGCAACACUACAUUGCCAACAUCUGUAUUCCCAUAAAGCUCGCAGACACAAUGUUCCCAUGCCCCAUGAAACAUCCUCCCCAGCACCACGGACCAGAGCUUAAUUUGCCUCAUGAGCCUGAUGAGCUUAAUGCGCCUCAUGAGCCUAAACAUGUGCCUGAUGAACAUAAUUUGCCUCUUGACCCUAAACAUGAGCCUGAACA